UGGAGGUCCCUGCUUGAGGGACAUCUCAGGAGAACAUACAGAAGCUCUGUGAUGGCCCGAGGUGCCAACUCUAUGGCAAGGGAGAACCUUCCUGCCUUCAACUCUCUCCCCUCCUCUCCCUCCACGGGGAAGCCAGAGGCGGCGUGUGCUGGGGGAGGUGGAAGAUGGGGCUGAAGAGGACAGUCACGCCGCACCCCCUGCCCACCGCGUCCGUCCGGAGUCAAGAAAGAACAUCCUGACCAAAUGGAGAAGCCAGCAUGAAGCAGGAAAUGGGGGCGAGGUGCAGAAGACCGUCCUGGACACCAGGACUGGUCGGGGAAGACAUGUCCAGGCUUACAGACCACCAUCCACCUGGCCAGCCCAUGGGAGUGGGGGCACCUGAUGCCCUCAAAGCCUGAUGACACCCACUGGGGCCCAUGCAGCUAACUUAUUAAAACUUUGCUGUAAUUUACUACUAAAAAAACAACAGAAGCGUCAACACAGGUCCAUCGCCACCUUGCUGAGGCUGAGAGCCGCCCAGGAUAGUUACCAGAGAAUAAAUGGAGCACUUAUAUUUAGCUGGGUGACUCAAGUUGCAUCCCCAAAUACAACCACUAAACUCAUGAAAGCUGGACCUUAGAGCAGUGCUUCCCCAGUGUGUGUGUGUGUGUGUGUGUGUGUGUGCAUG